GGGUGCCUUACCUCUCCCCUCUCUGUGCCCUGGACUCCCGUUACUGCUGUGAACCCGACGCCCCUUCUCCUCCUGCGCCUCCCUCGUCCACCACGUCUACACCACUUCAACGAUGAAGCUGUGCUGCCUCGUCAUUGCCACUUAAAGGACGAGACGCCCCGAAGAGGAAGAAGCCGUGCAACAGGUCAUUGCUGAGUCCGGCGUGCUGAAGCCUUCGUGUUGGAGACUUCAGAUUGUGAGGCCUGUUAUGGGGUUUACUACUUUAUUUAAAGUAAACUGGUGUCUAACCAU